UCUACGGGAGGCAGCAGUGGGGGAUAUUGCUCAAUGGGCGAAACCCUGAUGCAGCGACGCCGCGUGAGUGAAGAAGUAUUUCGGUAUGUAAAGCUCUAUCAGCAGGGAAGAAAAUGACAGUACCUGACCAAGAAGCCACGUCUAACUACGUGCCAGCAGCGGCGGUAAUACGUAGGGGGCCAGCGUUAUCCGGAUUUACUGGGUGUAAAGGGAGCGUAGGCGGUUAUGUAAGUCUGGAGUGAAAGGCCGGGGCCCAACCCCGGGACUGCUUGGGAGACUGUGUAACUGGAGUACAGGAGAGGCAGGCGGAAUUCGUGGUGUAGCGGUGAAAUGCGUAGAUAUCAGGAGGAACACCGGCGGCGAAGGCGGCCUGCUGGACUGAAACUGACGUUGAGGCUCGAAAGCGUGGGGAGCAAACAGGAUUAGAUACCCGGGUAGUC
rnacentral:rRNA from 1 species